CGGGCCUUUAUUAACCGUUGAUGCGUAUAAGUAGGUCCAAGUUCAUAAGUUAUGGGCUGUUAUGAUUAACGGGUCUAGUAUGUUUGGGCUUCUUAUAUUUGAUCUUCUUGUCCUAACAAAAAUAAAAUAUAUGGUUAACUUCUUUUUUUCUUCAAAAUUUGAAAUUCUUCAAAAAAAUAAAGAAACAUGCUCUCCAAUGGUUUGCUUCAUAUUUUUCUUCAAAAUGAAAUAUUCUAAGUAUAAUCUACCAAAAUAAGGAGAAGAAAAAUAGAUGUAUUCUGGUUCACAUGGCAGCCAUAAGGAUCCAUAGAGAGCGAGCAAACUUGGCCACGAAAUGCAGCUAACAUGAAUCCAAAUCUGUCUGCAGAAAUUUUAUCGAUGUAUUUCUGUCUCACAUGGUUUCCGUUUUUGUCUCGAACACAUCUCAUGGGCUGGCCGUCACAAGUACACGUGAUAAACUAACUCCCAGAUAAAAGGUUUAUGACAUGAAUAGCCCUACAGCAGAAUAAAUUUUCACCCCUCAGUACACCAUUUUUACUAUUCUUUCAGUCCAGACAGAAUGUAGUGGUUUUGUACCUUUUGUAUUAUUCUGCAAUCAUAUAUCUGCAGACUAAGUAGUACGAUCGGUCCCAUGAGUUGAUCCGCGAAUACCGUUCUCCAUGAUGUUUUGCAGUAUUAGAAAACUGAAGCAGAUCAAAUAAAUAAUAAACAAAAGAGAUAGUCUGACGGGCAAUGCAAUGUAAGACAUAGGGUCAAGUAGGAACAGACCUUUUGAAUGACAUUAUCAAACACAUCAGUCAUUAGUUUGCAAGCAUGAGGAAGAACUUCCCCAAACACAUCUGUUUUUUUUUUACAUCGGAUUACAAAUUCUCGGGCAUUUGCUGAUUGAAUCAGCUCCUGUACUGAUCCGCAGUGAAAGGAAACAGAGGUUUUAGUAAGGUUUAUUAUCAUAUGAUUCAGGUAAAAACCCCAGAAAAAGUCGGGAAAGAAAAAUUAAAACUUGCCUGAAAGGAAACAGAGGUUACCUUAGUUGCUUCUCCAGCCUCUUUGUCGUUUCUCUAAGCUUUGUAUCCGCCUGGACAGCAAAAUAAUAAACAUAUUGAAUAUGAAGUAACAAACAUAGCUUUUAGCUCAUAACCAUCAUCAAGGAGAAACGCAAAGAGUAGAGAUGCCUCAAAACUCAAUGUAUUGAAUAAUUGAAAAGUUAGAAAGGAAUAUAAAACGUAAACGUACCGGAUGUAAAAAGAUAGCGUAAGAUGCAAAAAAAAAUCAGACGAAAAUAUAUAGGAAGAAAAUAAGGGAUGUGAAGAGCGUGACUUUUUGGACGAUUUGAUGUAGGGAGCCAUAUUGACGGGAGCCAUUUCACUAAUGAUCGUGCGAGAGGUUAAGUGUAUCGCAUUAAACAAUGUAGAAGACGAAUAGGGAUGUCAAAUAGGCAAGCUGUCCAUGGGUAACCCAUGUCUACAUCAAUUUGGACUAAAAUGGACACGCCCAAAUAUGUCCAGGAAAAUAUUUUGUCCAAAUAGGCGUCGUCCAAAUACACCCGUAGCCCAAACGGGCAAAACCACAUGGACACUGGGCGGCCCAAAUCUUAAAAAUAUCUAGGGUUAACAUAUUUGGGGAAAAAUUAUAAUCAAAAUCAUAAUCGAGAGAAAUCGAUUUUGAGCUUCUUCACUUCAUCUUCUUCACUCUUGUAACUCAAGCUUCUUCACUUUAUCCUCUUCCGUUUUUUCACUUCAUCUUCUUCUCUAUCUAGCCGGUUUGUUUCAGGUUUGUUGUAGUCUCUCUCUCUCAAUUUAGGGAUUUAGUGAUGAGUCUUUCUAGAUUCAAUGUAUAAAGUUGUUUUUAUUGAUUGGUUUGACUUGUUUAUGUUUCUGAUUUUGGGUUUGAUGAGUUUGCGAUUCUAGGUUUGAUGGGUCUGUUGAUGGGUUCUUCAUGUUGAUAUGGAUUUGUCGCUCAACUAAAUGCUAAGUUUGUUAUCAUCUUGUUUAUGCAGGCUUCAAGAUUUGGAACCAAAUAAGAGCUCGAACUCACUACUCCCAGUCCCAGUCUAUCCUCUCUAAUUUAAAAUGAAUGAGGAUAUUUGAACCUAAAUGAUGAUGCCUAUUUGAGUGCUGAUGAGAUGAUGGAUCAGAACGAAGAUGAUCAUGAUCCUGAUUCUGUACAAGAUGAUUCUACAAAUGUGGUUGAGAGUAGAGGUGAUUCUAAAGAAGAAAGUGGAAUAAAGAAGAUAAAGAAGUGAGAUUAAGUGAAGAAAUGAAGCAUGAAAGUUUAAGUACCUUUUGUAAAACAUGGAGUUUAAGUUUAAGUUUAAGAUUUUAAGUAUCUUUUGUAAACUAUGAGAGUUUAAGUUUAAGUACCUUUUGUAAAACAUGGAGUUUAAUCUUAGGUUUAAGUUUAAGUUUAAAACUUUAAGUAUUUUUUGUAAACUAUGGAGUUUAAGUAAGUUUAAGAUGUUAUAUAUGAAAUUUAGAA